rnacentral:rRNA from 1 species
UACGUAGGGUGCGAGCGUUGUCCGGAAUUACUGGGCGUAAAGAGCUCGUAGGUGGUUUGUCGCGUUGUCCGUGAAAACUCACAACUCAAUUGUGGGCGUGCGGGCGAUACGGGCAGACUUGGAGUACUGCAGGGGAGACUGGAAUUCCUGGUGUAGCGGUGGAAUGCGCAGAUAUCAGGAAGAACACCCGUGGCGAAGGCGGCUCUCUGGGACGUGACUGACGCUGAGACGCGAAAGCGUGGGGAGCGAACAGG